rnacentral:rRNA from 1 species
AUCAACUUUCGAUGGUAGGAUAGAGGCCUACCAUGGUGGUAACGGGUAACGGGGUGUUAGGGCACGACACCGGAGAGGGAGCCUGAGAAACGGCUACCACAUCCAAGGAUGGCAGCAGGCGCGCAAAUUACCCAAUCCCGACACGGGGAGGUAGUGACAAUAAAUAACAAUACGGGGUUCUUUAGGAUCUCGUAAUUGGAAUGAGUACAAUUUAAAUCUCUUAACGAGGAACAAUUGGAGGGCAAGUCUGGUGCCAGCAGCCGCGGUAAUUCCAGCUCCAAUAGCGUAUAUUAAAGUUGUUGCAGUUAAAAAGCUCGUAGUUGAAUUUCGGGGUUAGUAGGUUGGUCAUGCCUCUGGUAUGUACUGGUCUCACUGAUUCCUCCUUCCUUAUGAACCGUAAUGCCAUUAAUUUGGUGUUGCGGGGAAUUUGGACUGUUACUUUGAAAAAAUUAGAGUGUUUAAAGCAAGCUAACGCUUGAAUACAUUAGCAUGGAAUAAUGAAAUAGGACGUUCGAUCUUAUUUUGUUGGUUUCUAGGAUUGACGUAAUGAUUAAUAGGGAUAGUUGGGGGCAUUAGUAUUCAAUUGUCAGAGGUGAAAUUCUUGGAUUUAUUGAAGACUAACUACUGCGAAAGCAUUUGCCAAGGAUGUUUUCAUUAAUCAAGAACGAAAGUUAGGGGAUCGAAGACGAUCAGAUACCGUCGUAGUCUUAACCAUAAACUAUGCCGACUAGGGAUCGGAUGAUGUUAAUUUUUUAAUGACUCAUUCGGGCGCCUUACGGGAAACCAAAGUGUUUGGGUUC